AGUCGAGAAUCUUCCGCAAUGGGCGAAAGCCUGACGGAGCAAUGCCGCGUGAUUGAUGAAGGCCUUCGGGUUGUAAAAAUCUGUCACCUAGGACGAAAUUUGACGGUACUAGGAGAGGAAGUGACGGCUAACUACGUGCCAGCAGCCGCGGUAAUACGUAGGUCACGAGCGUUAAUCGGAUUUAUUGGGCGUAAAGGGUCCGCAGGGGGUUUUAUAAGUUUGACGUGAAAUGUCGAGGCUCAACCUCGAAACUGCGUUGAAAACUGUAGAACUAGAGUAUUGGAGAGGAAAGUGGAAUUCCUGGUGUAGCGGUGGAAUGCUUAGAUAUCAGGAGGAACAUCAAUGGCGAAGGCAGCUUUCUGGACAAUUACUGACCCUCAUGGACGAAGGUGUGGGUAGCAAA
rnacentral:rRNA from 1 species